UCCUGGGUGGCUCAGACGGUAUAGCGUCUGGCUGCAAUGUGGGAGACCCGGGUUCGAUUCCUGGGUCGGGAA
rnacentral:tRNA from 1 species